CUUAGAACAAGAAAAGGCUCUGAAACAGAUCCAAGAUGUUGUUUGAGCCAUGCAACUAGAAGAUCUCAUAGAACUAAAGUUAUCUAAUUUACAGAAAAGGUUUUACGUGAUGUCUAUUGUACAGAUUCAUAUGAAAACCAUAGUUCAAACUCCAAGGUUUAAGAAGUAAGAAAGAUCAUGUCAUUUGCAACAAACAUGCAUGCAUAUUUGAAAAGCAACUGUAAGUAUGCUAUUGGACAUUGGUAAAGAUUGAAUAUCUGACCAUGGCAUAUCAAGAAACCGUGGAAUGAGUACUGCUUAUCAAGAUCUGGGUGUGAGAAGACUUAAAAAGUCAGAUAGUCAGUGAGAACCAGCUAGAAUCCAUGAAAUUGUGACUAAUAAGAAUCCCAGAGAAGUUCUGCCCUAAUGGAGUCAACUUGAUUUGAGAUGCAAAUGGAUUUGAGCAAUGCUGUGCUAAUGGUCUAUCAAGAUAUCCUGAGUUUCCAGUAGAGAUGUUUCAGCCAUAACACGGGCCUGGUAGACAAAUAACUAGGAGACCAUGUCCCUUGGCAUCAGUAUUGAUCUUCAAUAAUUUGUCCUUGAUAUUGAGAGAAGAGGAUCAAACUAUUUGAACAGGAUUGCUGUACUUCAAUUCAACAUGUAAAGUGAAAAUGCAGACCCAGUUGACUAUAUUUCACUCAUUUGGGUGGAAGAAGCAGAAGAAGUUUAUUAACAAAGAAGGAGAAUAACAAAAGAAAUAUAAGAUGAAAAGAAAAGCAAAAAGAAAGAAAACUAAAGAAAAAGCAAAAGAAAGAAUACUAAAUCUGAAAUACAUUUUAGUCCCCAAAUCAAGUUGGUGCAUAAAGUUCAAAUGUUUUCCUGA